rnacentral:rRNA from 1 species
UCCGGGGGUAGAGCACUGUUUCGGCUAGGGGGCCAUCCCGGCUUACCAACCCGAUGCAAACUGCGAAUACCGGAGAAUGUUAUCACGGGAGACACACGGCGGGUGCUAACGUCCGUCGUGAAGAGGGAAACAACCCAGACCGCCAGCUAAGGUCCCAAAGUCAUGGUUAAGUGGGAAACGAUGUGGGAAGGCCCAGACAGCCAGGAUGUUGGCUUAGAAGCAGCCAUCAUUUAAAGAAAGCGUAAUAGCUCACUGGUCGAGUCGGCCUGCGCGGAAGAUGUAACGGGGCUAAACCAUGCACCGAAGCUGCGGCAGCGACACUUUAGUGUUGUUGGGUAGGGGAGCGUUCUGUAAGCCGUUGAAGGUGUCCUGUGAGGGGUGCUGGAGGUAUCAGAAGUGCGAAUGCUGACAUAAGUAACGAUAAAGCGGGUGAAAAGCCCGCUCGCCGGAAGACCAAGGGUUCCUGUCCAACGUUAAUCGGGGCAGGGUGAGUCGACCCCUAAGGCGAGGCCGAAAGGCGUAGUCGAUGGGAAACGGGUUAAUAUUCCCGUACUUGGUGUUACUGCGAAGGGGGGACGGAGAAGGCUAUGUUGGCCGGGCGACGGUAGUCCCGGUUUAAGCGUGUAGGUGUGUGUUCCAGGUAAAUCCGGUUCACUUUAACACUGAGGCGUGAUGACGAGGCACCACGGUGCUGAAGCAACAAAUGCCCUGCUUCCAGGAAAAGCCUCUAAGCAUCAGGUAACAUCAAAUCGUACCCCAAACCGACACAGGUGGUCAGGUAGAGAAUACCAAGGCGCUUGAGAGAACUCGGGUGAAGGAACUAGGCAAAAUGGUGCCGUAACUUCGGGAGAAGGCACGCUGACACGUAGGUGAAGUGAUUUACUCACGGAGCUGAAGUCAGUCGAAGAUACCAGCUGGCUGCAACUGUUUAUUAAAAACACAGCACUGUGCAAACACGAAAGUGGACGUAUACGGUGUGACGCCUGCCCGGUGCCGGAAGGUUAAUUGAUGGGGUCAGCGCAAGCGAAGCUCCUGAUCGAAGCCCCGGUAAACGGCGGCCGUAACUAUAACGGUCCUAAGGUAGCGAAAUUCCUUGUCGGGUAAGUUCCGACCUGCACGAAUGGCGUAAUGAUGGCCAGGCUGUCUCCACCCGAGACUCAGUGAAAUUGAACUCGCUGUGAAGAUGCAGUGUACCCGCGGCAAGACGGAAAGACCCCGUGAACCUUUACUAUAGCUUGACACUGAACAUUGAGCCUUGAUGUGUAGGAUAGGUGGGAGGCUUUGAAGCGUGGACGCCAGUCUGCGUGGAGCCGACCUUGAAAUACCACCCUUUAAUGUUUGAUGUUCUAACGUGGACCCGUAAUCCGGGUUGCGGACAGUGUCUGGUGGGUAGUUUGACUGGGGCGGUCUCCUCCUAAAGAGUAACGGAGGAGCACGAAGGUUGGCUAAUCCUGGUCGGACAUCAGGAGGUUAGUGCAAUGGCAUAAGCCAGCUUGACUGCGAGCGUGACGGCGCGAGCAGGUGCGAAAGCAGGUCAUAGUGAUCCGGUGGUUCUGAAUGGAAGGGCCAUCGCUCAACGGAUAAAAGGUACUCCGGGGAUAACAGGCUGAUACCGCCCAAGAGUUCAUAUCGACGGCGGUGUUUGGCACCUCGAUGUCGGCUCAUCACAUCCUGGGGCUGAAGUAGGUCCCAAGGGUAUGGCUGUUCGCCAUUUAAAGUGGUACGCGAGCUGGGUUUAGAACGUCGUGAGACAGUUCGGUCCCUAUCUGCCGUGGGCGCUGGAAGACUGAGGGGGGCUGCUCCUAGUACGAGAGGACCGGAGUGGACGCAUCACUGGUGUUCGGGUUGUCAUGCCAAUGGCACUGCCCGGUAGCUAAAUGCGGAAAAGAUAAGUGCUGAAAGCAUCUAAGCACGAAACUUGCCCC